UUCGUUUUAGAAUCUCUUUUUCCUCUAAAUCAUAGAGUUGGUGUUGUGAAGAGUUGCAUUUAGUGAGUGAGUUCAAUUUAUUGUUCCUCUGAUUCAAUGUGUCCUCCCUUCCUUUCCUCUUUCCAAUCAGUCUGAUCUGCUAUGUGAUAUCUCUCAAGUGGGGGUCAGGGGAAGAAUGGAAGUGUACGAGCCUAUUGUUCAAGUUUUGAGACUAGUUGAUGGUGACGAGAAACCAACAAUGAGUUUCCUAUAUAAAGCCAUUGAUCGAGCAAAACAGACAAUUCAACAAAAUUCUCGUUAUCAUUGCACCUAUAAUGAUAUAAUUGACAAGCGUUGGAAAUUCAUGCAUUCUUAUCUUCAUUCUGCUGGUUAUUUUCUUAAUCCACAAUUUCAAUAUGGAGUUGAACAUGAAGAUGAUGUCUAUAAGGAAACAUUUGAAGGGACGGCUAGAGUGAUAACAAAAUUAGUAAGAAGUAUAGAUGAUUAAAUCAAAGCUCUGAAUCAGUUGACUCUUUACAGAGAAAAGAGUGAUUCAUUUGGUAUACGUCUGGCUCAAGAUUCUUGGUCAAAGAUGAGGGCAG